rnacentral:rRNA from 1 species
GGGGGCAAGCGUUGUUCGGAAUUACUGGGCGUAAAGGGCUCGUAGGCGGCCAACUAAGUCAGACGUGAAAUCCCUCGGCUUAACCGGGGAACUGCGUCUGAUACUGGAUGGCUUGAGUUUGGGAGAGGGAUGCGGAAUUCCAGGUGUAGCGGUGAAAUGCGUAGAUAUCUGGAGGAACACCGGUGGCGAAGGCGGCAUCCUGGACCAACACUGACGCUGAGUGAGCGAAAGCCAGGGGAGCAAACGGG